AGCUCCAAUAGCGUAUAUUAAAGUUGUUGCGGUUAAAAAGCUCGUAGUUGGAUUUCUGCCGAGGACGACCGGUCCGCCCUCUGGGUGAGCAUCUGGCUCGGCCUUGACAUCUUCUUGGUGAACGUAGCUGCACUUGACUGUGUGGUGCGGUACCCAGGACUUUUACUUUGAGGAAAUUAGAGUGUUUCAAGCAGGCAUACGCCUUGAAUACAUUAGCAUGGAAUAAUAAGAUAGGACCUUGGUUCUAUUUUGUUGGUUUCUAGAGCUGAGGUAAUGAUUAAUAGGGAUAGUUGGGGGCAUUCGUAUUUAACUGUCAGAGGUGAAAUUCUUGGAUUUAUGAAAGAUGAACUUAUGCGAAAGCAUUUAUCAAGGAUGUUUUCA
rnacentral:rRNA from 1 species